rnacentral:snoRNA from 1 species
AAACCGUGAUGAGGACACUCUAAGACGAGGUCCUUAAAAUGUUCCAUACAUCGACAGAAUGAUUCAUUGGGUCUCUGGCGAAACUUAAGGAUGUCGUUCCUAAGCUU